CACCCAGCUCUGAAUACUUAAAAAAUGGCUUCUUAUAAAUUGAACCUAAAAAUAAAUAAAUUUUACUUUCAUGAAAAUGUGGGUCUUUGACCAGAAAAGUCCAGUACCAGACAUGAUAAAGGGGUGGCCCAGGCGAGUGCGGCAGACACAGAGCACCCCAUAUUAUGUAUUAUAGAAGUGUGUUUCCCUGCCGCUACUGAUCCAUGUCAUGCAGGUCACACAACAUGGCAGAGGUCUCUGGGCGCCUCCAGUGUCAGACGAAAACAUGCCGAGGGGUUUACAUAUAGAAUCCACAUCAUGGCCUGUGAUGGAGAAUACACUGAAGUAUGCCGGCACACCCGGUGCUGUACUGCAGACCAGCAGAGGUUCUCCUGGCCGCUCCCGCCUGUGUGCCGGCACACCCGGUGCUGUACUGCAGACCAGCAGAGGUUCUCCUGGCCGCUCCCGCCUGUGUGACGGCACACCCGGUGCUGUACUGCAGACCAGCAGAGGUUCUCCUGGCCGCUCCCGCCUGUGUGCCGGCACACCCGGUGCUGUACUGCAGACCAGCAGAGGUUCUCCUGGCCGCUCCUGCCUGUGUGCCGGCA